AAGUGUGUACAUGUUCAGCACAGAUACAGUUUUUUCCCUCAUAUUUUUAAUCUGUAGUUGGUUGAAUCCACAGAUACAGAACCAAACAUGUAGAGAGUCAGCCACCUGUGAUUGAACCUCAGUGAUCAGCAUACCUACUCCAGAAUCAGAAUAAAGCACAAAGUAAAUGGUCGAGGAUCCUAGAAGGGAAAACAUACUAGUUAUGUCAAAGAAGGAGAGCUUUCGAACACUUCAUACAAGUUCAACCUCAGUGGAUAAAAUUUUUCUAUACUCACCUGGAAGCAG
rnacentral:lncRNA from 1 species